rnacentral:rRNA from 1 species
AAAUUGCCUUUGAUACUGCUGGUCUUGAGUUGCGGUGAAGUGGCUGGAAUAUGUGGUGUAGCGGUGAAAUGCAUAGAUAUCACAUAGAACACCGAUUGCGAAGGCAGGUCACUAACCGCCGACUGACGCUGAUGGACGAAAGCGUGGGGAGCGAACGGGAUUAGAUACCCCGGUAGUCCACGCCGUAAACGAUGGACACUAGCUGUCGGGCCGCUUUAGGUUCGGUGGCUAAGCGAAAGUGAUAAGUGUCCCACCUGGGGAGUACGUCGGCAACGAUGAAACUCAAAGGAAUUGACGGGGGCCCGCACAAGCGGUGGAGCAUGUGGUUUAAUUCGAUGAUACGCGAGGAACCUUACCAGGGCUUAAAUGUAGUGGGACAGGGGUAGAGAUACCUUUUUCUUCGGACUCAUUACAAGGUGCUGCAUGGUUGUCGUCAGCUCGUGCCGUGAGGUGUCAGGUUAAGUCCUAUAACGAGCGCAACCCCUACCGUUAGUUGCCAGCGAGUAAAGUCGGGGACUCUAACGGAACUGCCGGUGCAAACCGCGAGGAAGGUGGGGAUGACGUCAAAUCAUCACGGCCCUUACGUCCUGGGCUACACACGUGCUACAAUGGCCGGUACAAUGAGCAGCCACGUCGCAAGGCGGAGCGAAUCUAUAAAACCGGUCACAGUUCGGAUCGGGGUCUGCAACCCGACCCCGUGAAGCUGGAAUCGCUAGUAAUCGGAUAUCAGCCAUGAUCCGGUGAAUACGUUCCCGGGCCUUGUACACAC